GCUCCCAUGGUCGAGCGGUUUAAGACGCGGCCCUUUCAAGGCCGAGGUAGGGGUUCGAUUCCCCUUGGGAGUACCA
rnacentral:tRNA from 1 species